rnacentral:rRNA from 1 species
AUACGGGAGGCAGCAGUAGGGAAUAUUGCUUAAUGGGCGCAAGCCUGAAGCAGCAACGCCGCGUGUGCGAUGAAGGCCUUCGGGUUGUAAAGCACUUUUAGCAGGGAAAAGGAAGGAUGGUACCUGCUGAAUAAGCCUCGGCUAACUACGUGCCAGCAGCCGCGGUAAAACGUAGGAGGCGAGCGUUAUCCGGAUUUACUGGGUGUAAAGCGCGUGCAGGCGGUUUGUUAAGUGGGAUGUGAAAGCUCCUGGCUCAACUGGGAGAGGUCGUUCCAGACUGGCAGACUGGAGAGCAGCAAGGGAAGGUGGAAUUCCGGGUGUAGUGGUGAAAUGCGUAGAUAUCCGGAGGAACACCAGUGGCGAAGGCGGCCUUCUGGGCUGCAUCUGACGCUCAGACGCGAAAGCUAGGGGAGCAAACGGGAUUAGAUACCCGUGUAGUCCC